GACGGGGAAGAGGGCGGCCGGCGCCGCCGCACGGCGAGGGGGCUCUGGAGCCGCCCCGAGGACCCCCCGGGAAUCGCCCGGAGGACACACCCCGCACCUGCAGGCGGAGAAGCGGCCACACCGAAGUCGGCGCGCGGAGAACCGGCCCCAGAGCGCCGGGCUGCGGAGGAGCAGGAAACAACUGGCUUUUUCUAACAACGGAGAAGAAGGCGGAGACUCAGACAAAAAUGCAAACACAGAGGAAUUUAUACCAAGAGAAAGGACAAAAUAAGGCCAUGGCCAAAAUAAGAAAAACAGAAGUAAGGAUGUCUGAUAGAAUCUAAAUGAGAAUUUAGAGGAGCACUCGUAAGGAUGCUGUGUGGACUUGAGAUGGCAGUCGAAGGCUUCACGGAGACCAAUGUGGCACAGAUAAGACAGGAUUGUUGAGAGAUAAAAGAGUUGCCAAUAAAUGAGGUUGGAAACAGGAGGGAUGCAAUGAACAACAGGAUGAAAGAAGCAAAGGAACAAAUUAUUGACACAGAAGAUAAAGUAACAGAAGGUAAGCAAACUGAACAAAAAAAAAAAAAA